UCGGACGUGGUGCACGGUGCACGCCUAUUCUGGAUGCCAAGGCUUCGUAUAGCGUCAAGCAGGAAACCCGGGUUCGACCCCCGGCGUCCGAA